rnacentral:rRNA from 1 species
AGCGAACGCUGGCGGCAGGCUUAACACAUGCAAGUCGAACGGGCAUCUUCGGAUGCUAGUGGCAGACGGGUGAGUAACACGUGGGAACGUACCUUUCGGUUCGGAAUAAUACAGGGAAACUUGUACUAAUACCGGAUACGCCCUUCGGGGGAAAGAUUUAUCGCCGAUAGAUCGGCCCGCGUCUGAUUAGCUAGUUGGUGAGGUAAUGGCUCACCAAGGCGACGAUCAGUAGCUGGUCUGAGAGGAUGAUCAGCCACACUGGGACUGAAACACGGCCCAGACUCCUACGGGAGGCAGCAGUGGGGAAUAUUGGACAAUGGGCGCAAGCCUGAUCCAGCCAUGCCGCGUGUGUGAUGAAGGCCUUAGGGUUGUAAAGCACUUUUGUCCGGGAAGAUAAUGACUGUACCGGAAGAAUAAGCCCCGGCUAACUUCGUGCCAGCCGCCGCAGUAAAAC